ensembl:lncRNA
CUGGCGGGGCGGGGCGGGCCGGAGCGCGGCGGCCGUUGGGGCCGGUAGGGGGAGACCGGCAGCGCGUCUGGUACCGUGCGGCUCGGGAGGGGGUGGUUGUGCAGCGGAGGGUCGUCGUCGUCUCCAGGGCGAUAACCGUGACCAGCGGCAGGGGGUUGAGAGGAGGAGGGGAGCAGCUUGGGGCCGUGCCCACUGCCCUGGGCAGCCGUUCCAUGCCCACCGCCCUGUGGUGCAGCCCCUUUCCCUCACCCCCCGCUGCCCCUCCCCUGACAGCUCCAUGCCGUUCCCUCGGGCCCUGUUCCCACCCGCCACCGCUCAUGGAGCAGAGGCUGUGGUACGUGCUGAGGAAGAAGGACUUGGAAGAUCUUGAGAACAGACACUGCUUCUGUGGUCUGAUUCUUGUAGAAGCAGUGACUGCGUUCCCUCAGGAACUGAGGACUCCUGGAAGGAAGAGGGAAACACAGAAUCUGCUGGUUUUAGUGAGAAAGUGCUUGGUGAGAUGCUGGAUGAGGGUUUGCGUUCUGGUCCUGUGCCAGGAACAAUGCAAGCAAUGGCAGUCAGAUAUGAAAGCAUAACAAUGUGUGUGUGUGGGGACUGGAAGUCGGUUGUCCCUCUGGCCUGUUUAAACUCCCAGACACUGAGAGAGUCCCUUCUUCUCAUUCUUUCCCUUUAGAAAGAACAUUUUGGAAUUUUAGAAAGGAACCUCUCUUUCUCUCCAAUGAAUAGAACGUGUGUGCACAUACUUACUCAUUUAAAAGCAUAUACAGACAUUUAAAUAUUAGACCAAAAGUUUUUCAUUAUAUAUAUCUAUACCAGAUAGAGAAGAAGUAGGUUGAAAUAUCUGAUGAUGUGACGCUUUUCCGAGUGACAUUUGGUCAGAAGGCUGCUUGGCAGUGCUAAUUUUUAAACAUGCUUUUAGGACCUAGUACAGUGCAAGAGGGUAAAAUAUAUUUUAGAUGCAUUAUAGAGCAUUGUGGUGUAGUGAUGUUUAUAGCCUAGUCAAAGAGAGAACCUCACAUUGCAAAUGUAUCUAAUAAGUAUUUGAUGAUUUUGCUUUCCUCCAGCAAUGGUGAAGCUCCACUGAUUUGUCUGUAUCAGGGUUUUGUCCCAUUCGUUUUGUAGCGUUCCCAUUUACUUCCUAUACCUACUGAGCUCCUUACAGGGCUUUCUUUCCAACUGCCUACAGAGUUUCUCCUGUGGCCGUCUCUAAGUGUGCUGCAUUUCCUCAAAGCAUCUUCUUAUUCAUCCCAUCUCCUGUUUUAUGUUGAAAGCUUUUAAAAUACAUUUUAAUGAUGCAUAGCAGCAAUAUAAUGAGCCUAAUAGCAUGCUAUUGAUUUUCAUUUGCAACACUGGCAUUCAAACAUUUCAAUAGUGUUUUAAGAGUGUGUAUAUUUAAUGUGAUUCAAAGACAGGGCAAAUGCACUACAAUAUUUAUCUGCUAAAAAAAACUCCACUAUCUCUUACCAACUGAAUCCUCCCUCCAUCCUCCCCCGCAGUGUUUGUUGCAAUCAGCUGCAUUAGAAGUAUAUCAUUUUCAGUGUCUUAAAACAAGCAAGCCAAAAUCCUUGGUACAAGGAAGUAAAGGGGAAAAACAACAGGUCACUGUAUCUGCCCAUAUCUUUGUUUAUCUGCUGUGGUCACAGUGAAGAUAUUAAAGAUGCAGACCCAGUCAGUGCUGUUGGUGAAUGCAGUGUUUUAGCUUCAGAGUGAAGAAAGCUGCUCCAGGAUACUCUCUAGAUAGGAAUUAGCUGAGUUAUGGAACACACUAGCUCAGGCUAAGAAAAACGAGCAGAAAAAUGAGACUGGCAAAUGUACACAUCACCAUAAGAUAAGAUAACCGUUCUCAUUUGCUCGAUAACCUGGUAGUUACACCCUACAGAGAGCACUGCUUUCGGGAGCAGUUUCUGUGUACUCAGUGAGCAGGAUGUGAAGCAGCCAUUCAGUUCACUCUGAAUGUAUGUGCAGUGUCACCUGCAUGUAUGACCACUUGGAGGUAAUGCUAUAACAGCAGCGUUGACAAGCUGCGCCAGCGACACAUACACACACCAGAUGGCUGUGCUACUGUUCAACAGGACCUGGACAGACCUGUGAGUUGGGCAGAGAGAAACCUGAUGAGCUUCAGCAAGAACAAGCACGGGAUCCCGUACCUGGGAAGAAAUAACUGCAUGUAUCAGUACAGAUGAGGGGCUGACCUGCUGGAAAGGAGCUCUGUGGGGAAGGACUUAAGUGUUCUAGUGGACAACAGUUUGGCCUUCAGCCAGCAGUGUGCCACUCUGAGGUACUGUGGCUCCCCAGUUCGAGAACGAGAGGAAGAGAGGGAACUUCUUGAGAGAAUCCAGCAGAGGCCUGCAAAGAAGAUGAGGGGCCUGGAGCAUCUACACUAUUGAGGAAAGGCUGAGAGACCUGGGGCUGUUCAGCCUGGAGAAGAGUAGGAUGAGAGGGGAUCUCAUCACUAUUUAUAAAUACCUAAAAGGUGGGAGUCAAAUCAAUGAGGCCAGGCUCUUUUUGGUGAUGUGCAGUUACAGGACAAGGGAUAAUGGGCAAAAGCUGCAGUACAGGAAAUUCCAUACCAACACGAGGAAGAACUUCUGUACUGUGAGGGUGACAGAGCACUGGAACAGGCUGCCCAGAGAGGUUGUGGAGUCUCCUUCUCUAGAGGUAUUCAAAAUCCUCCCUGGAUGCUUUCCUGUGCAACCCACUGCAGGGAACCUGCUUUAGCAGGGAGUGUGCUAGUCCCCAGAGUUCCCUUCCAACCCCAGUGAUUCUGUGUGUGAUAUUGCCGUAGCUCCUUGUGUUAUAAGGAAAGACGCUAGUUUUCCAAGGCUUUGACAUACUUUAUUUGAGACUGUUUAUAACAAAUGAAUAAAAAUGAAAUUGACAGUGUCGCUCAUAUAUUACAAAUCAGUUAUCUGUACAGACGUAAAUGUGUGUGACUAUCUGAAGAUCUUAGGAAAUACACUUUCUGCUCUGUGGGUUGACUGAAUAUCAGUAAUGUGGAGAGAGAGAGUGAGACAGAAAGAGAGACAGAGACAGAGAAGUACUAGAGAUACAUGGAAGACUUAUGCUUUUGUAAGGACUUCAGUUUUCUUGCUUUCUCAAUACGCAGCUGUUGGUUUGUAACCACAUCAACCAACAGAAUCUCCUGACAGGGCUUGACUCAGAUAUUACUGUCGUUGAGUGAAACUACACAGGUUUUGCUAUCAAGCUAAAAAAAUCAGCUGCUUUAAUUACCAUUUAUUUCAUUUUUUUUCUAAUCUUUGUACUUUCCUUUAAAGGUCGUGAUGCAAAAAUUCCUGAAAAUGUGUAAAUGAUUCUGAAGUUUAAGAAGCUUUUGAAUCAGUUAACAGUUUCCAGUGUGCAAGUUGGGCUGAAAUAAGAUACCAGUCUUGAUUCUAAGAAGUUACCCAAGGAAUCCUAAAACAUGCAACAGAUGAGGUACCUAAGACAGACAUGGGCACGUGUUUUGUGUCAUACAUUAAAACAUAUGUGAAGUUCAAUUCCUGUCCACACCAGAGACAUUAGCUUUUGGCUAGUGCCAGAAAUGAUCAAGAAAACCGUUGUUUGGUUCCAAAAUUCUGAAAUGGGAAACAUCAUUUAUUUUCAGUAGAUGGGGGUAGUAAUGAGUGGUUCUCCUGCAAACACCUAAUUCUCUUGGCUGACUGCGGAUGGACUGUAGAAGGAUGAGCUCAGAUGUCAUAUUUUUGACCUCUACAUUGGGACAGAGCGAUCCCAUUCCUAAAGUCGUGCUGAACAUCCUGGGGAAGCAAGAACAAAUUUGAAGCUGAGCUGAGCGUAAAUCCUGGCAAGAACAAUUAUACCUGCAGGCGAGAUAUAUAUUGCUUUUCUUGUCUUCUAGCAGUGUGCUGCAUCCUUUUAUCCCCAGAAUAUGCUGAUCGUUCAUCUUUUGAACAUGAAUUUUUCAGGACAAGGACCACCUCUAAUGACAUGUUUAUAUAGUCCUUAGUACAGUGUUCGCUGUGACUACUAAGUAUUCCUGUAAUGGAAAUUAUAGCACGUCUCAUGAAGAAGGGGCUUCCAUGCAUAGGCCACUGAAGCAAAAAUGAAAAGGUAGUGCACAAGCAAAGGAGAUGGACAAUACAAAUGCUUCCACGCAGCCAAUUUGCCAUGAUGGAAGGCCCCCUGGGCUGUAUGAACCGUUCCCUUUUUUUGGAUGAUAUGUUGGUAGUCACGUCUCACAGCAAGCAAUCAGAGGUUUCUGGAGGAUGUGGAACUAGUUAGUUCCUUGUCCAUUAGUACGACUAUAAAAGCACAGCUCCAGUAUGGUACCAGUUGAUGAAACUGCAAAAUAGUAAAUUUAGAUUUCGUAAACAAAAAGCGUUUUCUAAGCAGAAUGCAUAAAAACAGAGACCUUUCUGGGGAGUGUUUCCUCUGAAGUAGCUGGUUUUGGUCACCAUCAGACAGGAAUCUCUAGACUGUAAAUCUGAUCAAAUACAGCAACUUCUGUGCUGCUCACUUACAUCCGUGAGAGUCUGCUGACUUCGGAGUGCACGCAGGGUUUGAUCUAAAGCACACCAUCCAUCUUCAUUGAAGAAGAAGUGUAUUCAUUCUGUGGAGGGGUGAAAAAUUGCCUAACAGGCAAGUUGGUUUGCAGGCCAACAGUUGACUUAUCAGUACUGUGGCACUAGUGUGCAAGACUCUGCAUUUAUUGCUGUGUUGUAUGCCUAAAUGUAUCCCAGGUUUUAAAAUUCAUGCACCUCUAGCUCUUCCUUGUAAUUUUCUUCUCGAAACUCAGAGCAAACUUCCUCUCCCAUCCUGACUGUUUAUAAGUAUGCAUAGAAACAAAUGUUUUGUAAAGAUGUGAGAGACAUUCUGCUUUAUUCCCAGGAGCAAAUAAAGCCUUUUAUUUUUAGCCUAGUUUCCUUAGGAAAUGAGACUGAUGCAAUCACAUUGUCUAUUUGUCAGUCUAUCAAACCAGCCCCCUUGCCUCCUUCCCUCCCCCCCAUCAUCUUCUGACCAUUAAUCUUUUUUAGCUGGACACGACCGAAAGGCAAAAGUAUUCCAGAAGUGUUAAAUGUGUGCACGUUUUAUGACAAUCUGUGGCUGGGACAGAGGAGAGACCUUAUCCAUUCCCUCCCUGGAGAAGUCAGCACUGGCUGAAUUCUGCUGAUAGGCAGUAGUAACUUGCUGGCAAGUCAAUUUCUGUGCAGCUGUAACUCUGCUGUGAUGCGUGUAAACUCCUCAAGUCACAAGGAUGGGAAGGGCUGGAAGAGAGGCAGCUGGGGUUGUUGGACUGUUGACUCAACCUCAAAGUGACUGAAUUCUGAGGUGAUGCUAUAGGGAGCUUCUCAGCGGUGGCUGAAGGAACAUGGUGGAAAAGAAAUGCAAAGCCAGUGCUAGAGAAGGGGUCAUCACAUCUCUGUUUUGGUUUUUCAUCCCAUUUGCUCCACUGUAAGGUAUGGUCCCGAGCAGUGUCUGCAUGUUUCUGUGUUGGAGGGAGAAUCAUAGAAUCAUAGAAUCGCUAAGGUUGGAAACGACCCACAGGAUCAUCCAGUCCAACCAUUCGCCCUUCACCAAUGGUUCUCACUAAACCAUGUCCCUCAACACAACAUCCAAACGCUCUUUGAACACCACCAGGGUCAGUGACUCCACCACCUCUCUGGGCAGCCCAUUCCAGUGCCUGACCACCCUUUCAGAGAAGUAGUAUUUCCUAACGUCCAGCCUGAACCUUCCCUGGCGCAGCUUGAAGCCAUUCCCUCUAGUCCUAAUGUAUGUCCUAAUAUAUGAAUGUAACAUAUAUGUGUAACAUGUAUAUAGCAUGAUUACUUAUUUACCUGUAUUUGCGGUGAUGUUUGGAAAGGAGCCUUAAAAUAAAGCUAUGAUUAUAG